CAUUUUUGGGCUUAUUAUAUAAAAUGUAGAGCUCGUGGAGAGGAACAUUUUAUACGCUGUAUGUAUGCAGCAAAGUCUUAUCGUUUUCCUAAUAUGUAAUCUUGAAAUUGCAGCGUAAUUUUAUUUUGCACUCUGUGACCUUUGACCUUGGGUGCAUAUUAAAGGUCACAUGAAUUAAAGAUUAUUGGUGAAGGUCCCAAGUCUCUACGACUUCCGGUUCUGGAAAUACAAUUUUUCUAAAAUGUACACAAAUUUUUCAAGGGGAAUAACUCCUUAUAAGGGUUAAUAACAAAAUGAUUGUAUUUGUUCAUUAAUAUUACCAUCUGUUCCUGUACAUGUUGCCGUUUUCAAAUCAAUUCUAUCUCUUAUACUUUUUGAGAAAAAUGCAAAGGAAAGAAAUUAUUUCAAGGGGAUAUAACUCUCAUAGGGGACAAUGAAAUCCUAUUCAACCUCAUAUGGUAAUAAAUCAUGAUGAGAUCUACCUAUUGUCCAAAUAAUGUCAUGAUAUCUUUAAAAACAACGAGGGGGUGCUGUGUUGAAAAAAAUCAAUAAAAGGGAGAUAACUUCUAAAGAGGAUGAUGAAAUCCUUAACAGGGU
rnacentral:lncRNA from 1 species